CCGAAUCCAACAGGGUCUGUAUCCGAAGCCAACAGGGUCUGUAUCCGAAGCCAACAGGGUCUGUAUCUGAAUCCAGCAGGGUCUGUAUCUGAAUCCAGCAGUAGACCAGGUUUCUCCAGAAUGUUCACUAAUCUGCAUCUCACUGCCUCAGCCCCAAGGGGAUCCAUGUCCAAACCACCAUGUCAGGGAGUUUGCUCCUAUUAGGAAGGUAUUUGGCCUGAUUUCAAAAAGUGAAUCAUACUCAAGGAGAUGCAUGUAUACAUACCAUUGAUCAAACCAGUGAGUGUAAUCACUGUUAUGUUUAUUAGCAGCCAGAAUGUGCUGGAACAUAGAAAAAGCACAAUUUCUGCCCCCUCAGAGAAGAUGGGCUAUUAAUUACCCAAAACAGCACCAUAUUUCUGAAAGUACUGACUGGAACUGUCACAAGACCAGUUUGGUUUUCAGACUUCUCGCCUCCUUUCCCAUCAUCAAUUUGGGAUUCAAAAGCAGCAACACCCAGAGUGAAAUGCUGAAACCAGUAGAGAAAGUGAUCUCGAAGCCAAUGCACGGUUCCUCUUCCUUUGUUUACAGACAGGUCCUUGGGAAAUAGAUGUGGCUUCUGGUUGGGUAUUUUGUUGUUGUUGGUGGUGGUUUUUAUUUUUUAAACCAUCUUCCUGGGCGAUAGUGCUGAUUAACGAAAAGUCAACACCCGCUUUGGCUCCCCGCCCUCCUCCUCACCAAACAGGAGGGAGCCCUGGCUCCCUCCCUCCCCAGUCAUCCCCACAGUGGUUCCCGAGAUGAGAAAGGAAUGUAAAGCAGCCACUAGAGUCAUGCUGUGGAAAGAUGUGACAACACAGCAGUUCAUCUCUGCUGAAGGCGGAUUGAGAGACCCUUGGACUAUGUCCAGGAAUCGACUUCUCUGCUGCGUGGUUGACUCUGACUGGGACUGCCACCCCGGGUGGGGCAGCAGCCGUGCGCCCGGGCACCGAGUCUCCAAGUUGACUUCCGUAGUGAUGGCCCAAGUUUCCGUCUCCAAAUGUGCAGUUGUGGGAUUUUGCUUUCUCUUGGUUUGGGGGGUUUUGUUUUAGUUCGUGUUUCUUUGGUCUCUGUAAGCCUCUCAAGCCAGAGCAAUUGAUUCAAAACCUGACCUUCCUCCAGGAAAAUGAGAAAAGCAGAAGGCGCUGGAUCUGAACGUGGUCCGCGUUCCUCCCUAUGCAUAGCCUCCAAGUCUUUGACUGUCUUGCCGAAGGCAGGCAGGAGGAGGCUUUUGGCUCCUGUCUCAACCAAGGAGUGGCUUCUUUCAACAGAUGACCACAGCCCAACUUCUCCACAGAUUAUGGUCUCUCCUUAAGAGCCCAGAUUCCGAUGGGAGACCACAAAACCACAUGGAUAAAACUUCAGAAACCCAUUUACAGUUAGAUGCUUGAACUUCAAGCCCAGAGCUAGUCACAUCUUCAUAAGAGUUCAGGAGCUAACUGACUAGUACUAAUCGUGCUAUUGAACAAGUCACUUUACUUCUCUGAGCUUUACUUUCCUCCCCUGUGAACAAGGGUUGUCCUCUCUACCUUGCCUAAGGCAGAGGAGAGUGUCUGGGGAAGAACAGCCCUAUUCUGCAGGAAGGCAUCAGACAACAGGUGUGUGUACAGCAUUUUCCUAGAUGAAACGCUUCCCAGGACUUGGAGAUGAGCUGGUCCUUCCGUGAGCUUUCACUGAGCUGGGAACAUCGUUCUUGCCCAUAUACCACCCAGGCAGUCCAGAACCAGGAAUACUAUGUAUGCCCAGCUUAUGUAUGCUUAAACUCCGGACCUGAGAGAAGCAUCUUCCGAGUGACCGGUCCUGCAUCUGUAAAAAGAAAGAAUUCUUUUUCCCCCUCCUCACUUCCUGGGGAUGAAGAAAAGAAGGCAUUUUCAAUAGAACAUUUUCAAUUCUUCAAAAAUAAGUUGCUUCCAUGCCACAGAGUAGGGACAUACUAGAUUCUCCCGUGCUGGAUAAACUUACUGAACUUAAUAUUGGGCUUCAAAUCCGAACCAAUGUCCAGCCUCCCCAGUUCGGGCAAUUUAUUUUUUGUUCACCUCCUUGUUGAGUCUCCCAAAGAGUUGAACUCUGUGUCUGGACUGUCGAUGACACAGCUUAUGGGCUCUGAAAGCAUCUGGCAUCAUAGUGCCCAAUUUAAGUUCUUACCUGCCGGAUGUGCACAUUAACCACGUGAGUUCUCUCUCGCCUUUUUAAUGGUUGAUCUUCUCAGUACGGCCUCCCAAUUCUUUUUCUUUUUAGUCAGAUUUAAGGCUGGUCAGUAUAGUUAUAGAAUAAAAACCAAAGGAACAUGUGUCACUUUCCAGGCGUGGGGUGCUAAUGUAGUUCCUUUUUCAAAGCCAAUGGCAGCUGUCUGAGGGAGACAGGUGUCUUGUUAACUGUUGGAACAUCUGUCUGUCUGCCCUGUCUUCAUGCAUGGAUUAGCUGCCUAAUACACUGUUUGUCAUGUCCUUCUGGCUCUGCAUUAAGCUGUGUCAUUGACAGUCCAGACAGAGUCAACUCAUUGGGAGACUCAACAAGGUGCUGAACAAAAACUAAAUUGCCCGAACUGGGGAGGCCGGGCAUCGGUUCAGACCUGAAGUCCAAUAUUAAAUUCAGUGAGUUUAUCCAGCACGGGAGAAUCUGGUAUGUCCCUCCUAUGCGGCAUGGAAGCAACUUAUUUUCGAGGAAUUGAAAAUGUUUAUUUCUUAUGUUGAAAAGUGUCUGCGGUUGCUCCUGACCCCCAAGCCAGGGAGUUUCAUUUUCCUUCAAGGCCAUUGUCACUGACAUGUUUCUAUUUAAAAAAAAAAAAAAAAGAAAA